UUGCACAGUCAUAGCCCUGAUUUCUGUUUGCUCUGUGGUAUUGACGGAUGCAGUGAGGAAUAUAGUGUACAAUUCCUUCUAUCAUCAUGUAAAGAUAAACCCCCUUCAACACCAACUUGAUUGCACCCGACCAGAUGAACAACCAUCGGAGGAAAGCCAAGUACCACCGGAACAAGACAACAUUCAAACCCACCAGCUUCUAGUUUCACUGAUCAGCAACUCCAUACAUCUCACUCAGAUGAAGGGCAAAGGGGCAUUGACCAACAUGGAGCUGUCACAGUGCAACAAGAUCUGACAACACAUGCCAAUGCUUUUGUGAUAAAUGCCAGAACAAAGCAUCGUCUCUCACAGAAAGGCGUGAAUGACAUUGUUGCUGGGGUACAGCAGUAUCAAUCAUCACUAUUGGACAACCUCAGGAAGCAGAUGGAGGCAGUGCUAAAGAAGCAUUCAGGAAGCACAUCAGGUCAACUUGAAGAAGAUAUGCAAUGGAUAUAUUUGACAAUUUCAUUGAGCCUUUUGCUGGCGUUGCAACAACAUUAAGACAGGACAGUGUUAUUAAGAAGCAGUUUAGCUGUUUGGACGCAGAGGAAAUUCACAUUGAUCGAACCAUAUGCAGGAUGAACCAUAUGCAGGAUGAACCAUAUGCAGGAUGAACCAUAUGCAGGAUGAACCAUAUGCAGGAUGAAAUGUGGAGGAUCAAAGACAUUUUCAUCAAUUAUUUUACUAUGUACCAUUAGUCAAAAUUCUAGAACAGUUCUCAUCACACCCAAGGAUUUUGUCUAUGGUUGAAAAGGGACCCCAGAUGUGCAGGGAAAGUUUUUUUCAUGACAUUGUUGAUGGUGCUCUUCUAAAAUCGCAUCCCUUAUUUUCAGAGAAACCAAAGGCAUUACAGAUUGUUCUGUACGCGGAUGGAAUAGAGAUCUGUAAUCCACUAGGAUCCUUUGCAUCAAAAAGCAAGUUGUUAAUGGUGUACUACACCCUAGGAAAUAUACAUCCAAAAUUCAGGUCUAAACUGGCUGCUAUCAGGCUACCUGCCAUGUCAAGAUCAGCAGACCUCCGUCAAUCUGGUAUAGAUGUAAUAUUGAAUAGAAUCAAGGAAGACAUGGAUGCAUUGUACAGUUGGGUUAAAAUGCUAACUAUUAACGGAGAGAAAACGAUAUAUGGUGCCAUGGUCUCUCUCUGUGGAGACACCCUUGCACAACAUGAACUAGCAGGGUUCAAAGAGGGUGUGGGCUUUGCCUACAGUAAGUGCAGACACUGUGAGGGUUCUUUUGAGGACAUGCAGUCACACUUCAAUGAGGAUGCAUAUACUAAAAGGACAUUGGAGAAGCAUGUCAGACAGUGUGAUGAAAUAGAAAAGGCACAGACGGACUUGCUUCGCAACAGCCUGAGAACAACAUAUGGGAUCAAUAGAAGGAGCAAGUUAGUUGAAUUCCCAGUCUUUGAUGUCAUACAACAAACUCCGCAAGACAUAAUACAUGUAAUUCUGGAGGGCAUAACUCCAUUGGAAAUCAAAUGUGUUUUGAAUCAUCUUGUUGCGUCAGGACAGAUUGAUCUGGACUCAGUGAAUUCUGCUAUUCUUGGUUUCCCUUAUUCCCCUCUAGAUGUUAGAGAUCAGUCAUCCCCUAUUUAUGUUAGUACAUUAAAGUGAUGGUAAACUAAAACAGUAAUCUGGGCAAAUGCUUGUCCUGCUAAGGAUAUUGCCAUUUGUUUUGGAGAGUUUGGAUGUCUAUACAUAUAUGCAACUGAUAUUCGAGCUAAUAGAGAUGGUACAGAUAGUAUUUGCACCUGUUCUUUCCAUUGUGACUGUGUCUAGGUUGAAGUUACUCAUUGAAAAUUAUUUGAAGCAUUGGAAGGAGCUUUUUCCAGACCGCAAUGUUACACCUAAACAGCAUUAUAUGAUACAUUUGCCAUCACAGAUAAAGUCAUCGGGGCCAAUGGUUAGACAUAUGUGUAUGCUCAAUUUAAAAAAUAUUUGCAAGACUUUGAUCAAUCAGAACCAAAUAUAUGAGUGCUGCCAGAAUGUUGACAGUUCAAUGCACCCAAUUUUUUCAAAUGAAAGGGAGAUGGGACCUGUAUCAGAGGUUAAAGAUCUACAAUAUUUAUGUGGAAAAUGUAGGGACUUCCUAGGUUUCAAUGAAGUAAACCAUGCUGUAUCAGUCAAAUAGCUAGUAAUAAAUACAUAACUCAGAAGUCCAUGAUCUUUGCCAAAGUACUGAAUGGUAAUAUGCCAGAAUUUGGACUGGUCAAAUACAUAUUUCUUGUUGAUUCUAGGCUUUGUUGUUUGGUAUAUCAACCAUUUCAAACUAUACGCUUUGAUAGAAACAUCAUUGCUUAUCAAGUUGAAGUCCCACACCCUGCACAGGCCACUGAGUUAGUGGAUGCUGAAAAACUGGUUGAUUUGACCUCUAAUUACACAAUUAGCAACAAGAGACAAACAUAUGUACAAGUCAAAUACCAUCUUGGGGAUGUAAUAGAAAUGUACAACAGUUCAAAUGAUUCAUAGUGUGUUCCCCAGAUAUGAAAAGUGUACCGUCUUUGUUCUGUACUGUAUUUUGUCUGCAUGAUUUCUGUGCUGGGA